CAAAACCGAGAUCAGCCCUAAACCCCAAUUCUUCCCAACCAAUUGAUUCCCUCGUCGGCAAUCUGCGCCGAGACGCAAAUCCCGAUCGAUUUCGCCGCUUUCGCUCCCCGUUCUUCACCGCCGCCACGGAACCCCUCUCUAGCCUUUCGAUGAGAAGGAGCUGCCGUGGCCGAUGACUCCGGAGAAGCAAAUGGCAGCCUCGCCGACAAUCUCCCGGUCGGUGACGGAGACCGUGAACGGGUCUCACAAGUUCGUGAUCAAGGGGUACUCCCUCGCUAAGGGCAUCGGUGUCGGGAAGCACAUCGCCAGUGAUACCUUCACCGUCGGAGGGUUCCAGUGGGCGAUCUACUUCUAUCCCGACGGGAAGAACCCCGAGGACAACUCCGCUUACGUGUCCGUGUUCAUCGCCCUCGCCAGUGAGGGGACGGACGUGAGGGCGCUCUUCGAGCUGACACUUGUGGAUCAGAGUGGCAAGGGGAAACACAAGGUUCACAGCCACUUCGAUCGAUCUCUUGAGAGCGGGCCUUACACCCUCAAGUACCGCGGUAGCAUGUGGGGUUAUAAACGCUUCUUCAGACGAACGGCUCUUGAAACAUCAGAUUACCUUAAGGAUGACUGCUUGAAGAUUAAUUGUACUGUGGGGGUUGUUGUGUCUGUUGUGGACUCACCCAGAUUACAUCACAUACAAGUUCCAGAGUCUGAUUUUGGAAUGCAUUUUGGUGUGAUUCUGGAUGAACAGGAAGGUUCAGACGUUGUUUUUGAUGUUGCUGGAGAAAAAUUUCAUGCCCAUAAGUUGGUGCUGGCUGCCCGAUCCCCAAUAUUUCACACACAGUUUUUUGAUGGUUUAGAUGGUGAAAGUAAUGAGAUCAUUGUUACAGAUAUGGAACCAGCAGUUUUUAAGGCAAUCCUACAUUUCAUCUACAGAGACACUCUAGUAGACGAUGAUAUGCUUGCUACACCAAACCUUCCUGAAUCUUCUAUCUCAGACACACUGGUUGCAAAACUGUUAGCUGCAGCUGACAGAUAUAGUUUGGGAAGGCUUCGACUUCUCUGUGAGGCUCAUUUAUGCAGGGAAAUAUCUGUGAACUCAGUUGCCAGCACUCUUGCAUUGGCUGAUCGUUGUCAUGCUAUUGAAUUAAAAGCUGCUUGUCUUAAAUUUGUUGCAGAAAAUCUUUCAGCUGUGAUGCGCUCGAGCGGAUUCGAGUACCUUAAGGACCAUUGUCCGUCACUGCAGUCAGAACUUUUGAAAAUAAUUGCAGGCUGUGAUGAGGAAUGCAGCAGUGGUGGGAAUAACAGGAGCGUGUGGGCUGAGCUUUCGGAUGGUGAGGAUUCCAAUGGCCGUAGGGUCUAUUAAAGGCUUGAGAGUUGUAAAGAUGAAACUUGCACUAGUGGAUUAUGGAACAAGGAGGCUCCCUCUCUUUUCUGACAUGAUUCAAGACUCUCUCUGUUUGAAACUAGCUGAUCCUGACCCGAAGAUGCUUCGAGGUUCACAUGAAACAGCAAUAUGAGGCCAUGACUACAGUGGCCUCAAUAUGAGGCCAUAUUUGUACACUGCACCAGACAAUGGUUGAAUCAUGUAGUUAGUUGCAUAAGAAGAUACCAAAAGAUUUUUUUAUAGAAUGAUCUUCUUUUGGUUGUUGUUA